UACGGAGGGAGCUAGCGUUGUUCGGAAUUACUGGGCGUAAAGCGCACGUAGGCGGCUUUGUAAGUUAGAGGUGAAAGCCCGGAGCUCAACUCCGGAACUGCCUUUAAGACUGCAUCGCUUGAAUCAGGAGAGGUGAGUGGAAUUCCGAGUGUAGAGGUGAAAUUCGUAGAUAUUCGGAAGAACACCAGUGGCGAAGGCGGCUCACUGGACUGGUAUUGACGCUGAGGUGCGAAA
rnacentral:rRNA from 1 species